CACGCUGUAAACGAUGAACACUUGGUGUGGAGGGAGUUGACCCCUUCCGUGCCGGAGCUAACGCGUUAAGUGUUCCGCCUGGGGANGCAACGCGAAGAACCUUACCUGGGCUUGAACUGCUAUGGACCGGUGCAGAGAUGUGCCUUUUCGCAAGAACUGUAGCAGAGGUGC
rnacentral:rRNA from 1 species